rnacentral:rRNA from 1 species
GGACUCCUACGGGAGGCAGCAGUGAGGAAUAUUGGUCAAUGGGAGAGAUCCUGAACCAGCCACGCCGCGUGAGGGAAGACGGCCCUAUGGGUUGUAAACCUCUUUUGUCGGAGAACAAAACCCGGGACGAGUCCCGGACUGCGUGUAUCCGAAGAAAAAGCAUCGGCUAACUCCGUGCCAGCAGCCGAGGUAAUACGGAGGAUGCGAGCGUUAUCCGGAUUUAUUGGGUUUAACGGGAGCGUAGGCGGUCCGUUAAGUCAGCGGUAAAAUUGCGGGGCUCAACCCCGUCGAGCCGUUGAAACUGG